UACGGAGGGUGCAAACGUUGCUCGGAAUCAUUGGGCGUAAAGCGCACGUAGGCGGCUCGUUAAGUCGGAUGUGAAAGCCCCGGGCUCAACCCGGGAAGUGCAUACGAAACUGGCGAGCUUGAGUAUGGAAGAGGGUCGCGGAAUUCCCGGUGUAGAGGUGAAAUUCGUAGAUAUCGGGAGGAACACCAGUGGCGAAGGCGGCGACCUGGGCCAAUACUGACGCUGAGGUGCGAAAGCGUGGGGAGCAAACAGG
rnacentral:rRNA from 1 species